rnacentral:rRNA from 1 species
AUGACUUCGAUGCCCCACCGGGUGUUGGCUGACAGUGCCACACCCGAACUUUUGACACCACGCUCGUACUCUGGACGGUACAACAAUUACUUCAAGGAGAAACGGAGGAUGAAGGCGGCCCCAUUCAACUUCUCGGUGGCUUCCAAGGAUGACAACAUGUUAUCCUUUGCCUCCAUUAGGGAGCCUGGUUCUCCUUUGGUUUUGCACUGGGUAUGA